GUCAACUCCCCCUCCUGAAUCAAAGAUUCAGAAAGGGCCUAUAAGAGCCCAAGUUGACCAGCCUGAGUCUUAACUGACUACGUUCGGCGGGAUGUAGAUAUCUUUGGAUGUAAUCGCCAGACCAAAGCGCUAUCGUGGCUCUGUAAAAGCGCUGUGAGGUAGGAGCGGUCAACCACAUUGCGAAACCUGCUGGACAUUGGCGAGGCGAACCUUAC
rfam:Desulfobacterium vacuolatum DSM 3385 genome assembly, contig: Ga0002809_114